rnacentral:rRNA from 1 species
GAUGAACGCUGGCGGCGUGCCUAAUACAUGCAAGUCGAGCGAAAAGGCGCGGAUCUUGCUCCUCUGACGUUAGCGGAAGAGGGGAGAGUAACACGUGGAAAAUCCACUUAUAAGUCUGGGAUAAUCACGGGACACCGGCGCAUACACCGGAUAAGCUCUUGCACCGUAUGGGUCGUUAGUGAAAGUCGGCUUUGCUGUCUGUUAUCGCUGGAUCCGGGCCGCAUUGGCUGGUUGGUGCGGUAACGGCUUACCAAGGCGAGCAUGCGUAGGCGACGUGAGAGAGUGGUCGGCCACACUGGAAGGGAGACACGGUCCAUGCUCCUGCGGGACGCAGCAGUAGGGAAUCGGCCGCAAUAGGCGGAAACCUGACGGAACAACGCGACGUGAGAGAUGGAGGUCUCCGGAUCGUAAAACUCUGUUAUUGGGGAAGAACAAAUGUGUAAGUAAAUAUGCACGUCUUGACGGUACCUAAUCAGAAAGCCACGGCUAACUACGUG